UGGGCAACCUGCCCCUGACACUGGGAUAAACCCCCGGGGAAACCGGAGCUAAUACCGGAUACUCUCGGCCGAUCACAUGGCUGGCCGAGGAAAGGUCCGCCGGUCAGGGAUGGGCCCGCGGCCUAUCAGCUUGUUGGCGAGGUAACGGCUCACCAAGGCGACGACGGGUAGCUGGUCUGAGAGGAUGGCCAGCCACAUUGGGACUGAGAUACGGCCCAGACCUCCGUACGGGAGCA
rnacentral:rRNA from 1 species